rnacentral:lncRNA from 12 species
AUGAUUGCCUUGGUUUCCAAUCAUCGUGAACCACAAGAACCGCCAAUUUAUAUAAUUGGAACCAGAGUAACGUCGGGAGGAAUGUAUCCUCGUGAGUCCAUGUCAGCCUUUUCACUGCAUCCUCUUUGGGUACCGGCCAGUCUCACAGAUUUGGUGAAAGCUGGUCUCAUCCCUUCGGGGGCUGAUGGUGUCACCAGGUGGGAGUUUUGCUGCGAAGCGAAGGGAGAGCCCUCUGGGAGCGAGAAAGGAGAGAGCUAUUUGAGUGCUCAUCAUGCCAGAUACUUUACAUUCCUUGUCACUCAGCACCUACAGCGCCACGUGAAGUGGGUGUUGCUCUCCCAGCUUUCAGACGAGAACAACCGGCUCGCUGUGUCAUUGGAGAUCACACAGUUCAUAAAGACGGGAGCUGGAUCGUCUUCCAGAAUUGCCCCUUGCCCUUUCAGACUACAUUUCCUAUCUUCUCCCUUUCUUCAAGCCUUCACCCUAUGAGUCUUACCCGAGCUCAAGUGUGUCCCAUAAGCCUUUUCCAAGUCAGAGAGUUUGGGCACAUCCAGGAUGGGAUUUAGAGUGAGCACAGGCACUGGUGUCCACACCCCAAGUUAUGACGUAGGAUGGGACCUAGGGUCCUUGGGGAGGACUGCUGGGUGUUCUUCCAGACACUGGCCACCCUGCAAGAUCAGGCCUGAUCCUCAAGCCUUUUCUUUCUGACGUGUGGGUUCAUGUUCUAGAUGCAGAAUCAGAACCUUUUAGAUCUGGAAAGAAUCACUCACUUUUAUUUUUUAUUUUUCUAAAGAUUUUAUCUAUUUACUUAUCAUGAGGGACACAGAGAGAAAGGCAGAAACAUAAGCAGAGGGAAAAGCAGGCUCCUUACAGGGAGCUCGAUGCAGGACUCGAUCCCUGGACCUUGGGAUCAUGCCCUGAGCCAAAGGUGGACGCUCAACCACUGAGCCACCCAGGCGUCCCAGGAAAAAAGAUGCAUUUACUUGGGGCAACUGGGUGGCUCAAUUGGUUAAGCAUCCAGCUCUCGAUUUCACUCAGGCCAUGUUCUCUAAGGUUGUGAGAUCAAGACCUGUCUUGAGAUUCUCUCCCUCUGCUCCUCCCUCCCACCCAGAAUGCAUGCAUUCCCUCUCUCUCUCUCUCUCUCUCUCUCUCUCUCCUCCCCCACCAAAAAAGUAUUCAUUGAAAAAGAUAAUACAUAUCAACAUACCCAUGGAGCAACAUCUAAAUGUACAAAAGGAAAUAUGGUGAGAAGUAAUUGUUGGCUUUAUCCCUGCUAAGUUAGGUGUCCAUAUAUUUCAGGCUAAUAAAUCAGUUUGGACUUUCUUUUUCCUUUUCUGG